GAAGCUAAAUUCAGAUCGAAAAAAACGAUCUUAUCAACAGCUUGUUAGUGACGCUCAGCCAGGCACUCCGACUGGGCGCUCGACGGCUGUGGUACGAUGUGGAACUGUUUUCAAUUGUGUUCGAUUGUUUGAGCGAGGAGGUCGCAUCGUUCAAAACUCGCAGCUUCCGACUUGUGUGGUCCAUUCUUUCGCUGCUGAUCCUACUAUCGUCGAGUGUGUUCUCCGCGUGCCGUACACUAGAUAUCACCAUGGCUGAUAAGGUUCGUGUUUGCAUCGUCGGCUCCGGAAACUGGGGAUCGGCCAUUGCCAAGAUUGUGGGCGCCAAUGCCAAGCGGUUGUCCACGUUCGAGGACCGUGUCACGAUGUACGUGUACGAGGAGAUGAUCAACGACAAGAAACUUACGGAAAUCAUCAACACGACGCACGAGAACGUCAAGUACCUGCCUGGACACAAGCUGCCCGAGAAUGUCGUCGCAGUUCCGGAUGUCGUGGAGGCAGCGAAAGAUGCCGACAUUCUCAUCUUUGUCGUGCCGCACCAGUUCAUCCGUGGGCUGGGCACGCAGCUGCUCGGCAAGAUCAAGCCGACGGCCGUCGGUCUUUCCCUGAUCAAGGGCUUCGACGUUGCCGAGGGCGGUGGCAUGGAGCUGAUCUCGCACCUGAUCACCAAGCAUCUGAAGAUUCCGUGCUCGGUGCUGAUGGGCGCCAAUCUGGCCGGUGAGGUGGCGGAAGAGAAGUUCUGCGAGACGACCAUCGGCUGCCGGGAUAUGAAGAUGGCGCAGACGCUGCGUGAUCUCUUCCAGACGCCAAACUUCCGUGUGGUGGUGGUGGACGAUGUCGAUGCGGUGGAAAUCUGCGGCGCGCUUAAGAACAUCGUGGCAUGUGGCGCCGGUUUUGUCGACGGCAUGGGAUCCGGUGACAACACGAAGGCGGCCGUCAUUCGGUUAGGUCUGAUGGAGAUGAUUAAGUUCGUCGAUGUGUUCUACCCCGGCAGCAAGCUGUCCACGUUCUUCGAAAGCUGUGGUGUUGCUGAUCUCAUCACUACGUGUUAUGGUGGCCGUAAUCGCAAAGUGUCGGAAGCGUUCGUGAAGACGGGAAAAACGAUCAAGCAGCUGGAGGACGAGAUGCUCAAUGGACAGAAGCUGCAGGGUCCGAUCACUGCCGAGGAGGUGAACUUUAUGCUGAAGAGUAAAGGGAUGGAGGAUAAAUUCCCGCUGUUUACCGCCAUCCACAAAAUCUGUACCGGUCAGGUUAAGCCGCAAGGAUUCCUGGACUGUCUGCGCAACCAUCCCGAGCACAUGACAACAUGGGCAAAGCUCUAGAGAAAUGCACGUUGUUGCGCUCACACAAUAAAGUUGCCAUUUCUCGCUCUGUAAUAAGAUUAACACAAUCACACCACAUCCCACAAUCCCACACAGCAAUCGCGAUCGCAAUUUAUUCGGAUUUUGAUGCUAGAACGCAAGAUCCAUCGGUGUGCAAUAAGAUCUCAGGAUAAGCGAAAUAGGGAUGUACUAUUGCUACUGUCCUUACCUGUUCCCAAAGCACGGCUCAGGAGGUUGUGAAAUUUGCAUUUACGUUGGGCGGAAAGCUUUCGGCAAGCUUAGCUUACACAUUCCGUUUUUGGUUGAUUUUGCUUAACUUUUCUAUCCAAUAGGAAAUGUUUUGUAGUUUUGUUUUGUGUUUUGGAUGGUUUUGUAACUAAGAGAACAAAAAACCUUUUUAUUACUGAUAUUAUUUUUGAAGGGUGUUUUUAUCUUUAAAUGAAAUACUGUUUUAGUGGUGGUCUAUCUACGUAUUAUUGAACGAUUAACAUGCUUGUGGGGAGUUUGAACAUGAUUCCUAAUACAUUUAGAGAUAGGUACAGAAGAGAGGUGUGUGUGUGUGCUGCGCGUUGUUAAAACAAUCCAAUAUCCAUCCAUCGUCAUCGUCGAAACAAUUGUUUUAGCAUAAACGGAAAACCAAAAACCAAUCCUGCAAGAUAUGUGAUACGGAAAGCUGAUAUAAAAAAAUGAAUAAACAGCAACAGUUAUUGGGCUUCAAUUGGUAUUCAAUUGUUGAGAAACACAAAAACAGAUAAGGGAAACAAUUUUAUUAGAAGAAAACCCCACAGCCCCUUCCUUAAUCCCAUAUCGUACGAUUGUGAAAUCCUCCCGGUUCCUUUCCGUUUACCUUCAUCCGAAUGAUUAGUGUUACCUUUAUAUGUUCGAUUGGAAUUUCCUCUGUGUGAAGUAACGUUUUCGUUGCCGUUCGGUUUGUAUCCAUGCUCAUCCUUGUGUUUCAUCAUAUCCUGCACCGAAUGAAACUGUUUCUCGUAGUGUUUCUCCUUCGUGUACGCCUUUCCCAUUGGCAAAAGUUGCACCAUUCUAUGUUUAAGCUACCACCACCACCACUCGGCUGCUAGUGUAGAGUAACGUGAACUAAUUUGGUUUUUCCUUUGAACUUGUGUUCUGCUCGAUGGGCGCGUGUUUGUGAACAAGGCAAACCUUCUCCUAAGUCGAUGCUGUGCAUUUGUCGUGGAGUGAUGUGGACUCUUGCGCGGCAACUAUGCUAAGAUGCAGCGGUGUACGCAUCACACAGAACCGGCCCUGAUGAAAACAUUGAUGAAAUCAUCCGGGAUUAGGAGAUGUAGCAAAACGUAAAAGUAAAAGCUUACCAAUGAAGGAAUUUAAAUGACGAAAACUCAUCGCCUCGAUAUCUCCUUCCCCCUUCCCGCCACCACAGCCCCACCCAAUCGUCCCUCAACACGUCGAAAUGAUACGCGAAUCUUAGGCCAAGCGAAUUUUAGAUCUUUCUAUUUGAUAAAUGUUGUUAUAGCAAAAUGAACGAGAAGUAUUGUACAUAGGACGUAAUAAAUUCGAAAAAUUUAGACAUCGGGAA